rnacentral:lncRNA from 10 species
GAGGUGGGAGAGCCAUCACUGGAGAGGUGGCAUUGGCGCCAGUACUCAGGCCAGAAGCCCCUUGUGCCCUGCUCUCAGGUAGGCCUGGAAAAGGGCAACAGUGCCUCUCUGCAGCAUGAAGCCCCCCUGAGCAAACAGGGCCUAGCAACUCCUGCCCAGGUAGCGGAAUGUGGCCCAAGCAGAAGGGGGAAUUGGGGAGGUAGCGGGGAUCAGCCCCUGUGCUGGGACCCCUAGCUCUUGACACUCGGAGCCUGCAUCCCCCUAAGCCAAGACUGUGCGCAGGCAGCACGUGCUGAAGCCAGACGAGGACAGCAUGAGAGUUCCCCUACUCUUCCCCCAGGCAACUAGAUGGGCCACUUCUCUCUCCCUAGGGGUUUCCUCCCAUAUUGGAUCACGAUGAAAACUGCACAGAAAGUCCGUGCUCAGUUUCUUCCAUGGUUACAGAACACAGGCCCCAGACCAGGAAGGCAUUCUGCUAAAGAAGGGGACCCGAAACCUCAGCUACCAGCGCCGAUGGUUCAUCCUCCGAGGAAACCUCCUCUUCUACCUAGAACACUAGACCGACCAUGCACCCCUGAGCCUCAUCCUGUUAGAGAACUGCCAGGUGGAACCACACCUUAAGGCUGCAGAACCCUAUGCCUUUACCAUCCUGACCCCUGGGGUGGAGGGCACAGGUGGGCGGGCCUACAAGCUGGCUGCAGAAACCCAGGAAGAGCUGGAGACUUGGCUGUGGGCACUGGCUGGCGCGAGCUGGAGGCGGCUGGCUGGGCUGCUGUCCCCCCUCCCCCCCCACCAAAACCCAAUACUGGGAGCUGUGCCAGGCAACUGGCCAAGAACCCAUCUCAUCCCCAGAGGACAGUGGCUUUCUAGCCACUGUGAGUACCCCCUCCAGCUUCCAGGAGUUGCAUGAGCACUUUGGGAAGGAGAUCCGGGUGCUGCACGUGGUACAUAGAGAGCUCCAGGCAGCCAGUGACAAUGGAGACAGCAGAUCCCAGGCAAAGAUGGAGCAGGAGCUCAACCAGUGUCUGAUGAGUGACUGAGAGAUGGACCCAAAGCUAAGAGGUACCUACUUGCCAAGACAGCAGACUGCUUCAACAGAGACCCAGGUCCUGGCUCUGUCCCUCCCUCCCUCGUCCUUACCCCAUCCCCCCCUCAUCAAAUAACAAGGCAGAAAACAGGCCCAGGUACAA